CUUGAUGGCGACCGGCGCACGGGUGAGUAACACGUAUCCAACCUGCCGAUGACUCGGGGAUAGCCUUUCGAAAGAAAGAUUAAUACCCGAUGGCAUAGUUCUUCCGCAUGGUAGAACUAUUAAAGAAUUUCGGUCAUCGAUGGGGAUGCGUUCCAUUAGGUUGUUGGCGGGGUAACGGCCCACCAAGCCUUCGAUGGAUAGGGGUUCUGAGAGGAAGGUCCCCCACAUUGGAACUGAGACACGGUCCAAACUCCUACGGGAGGCAGCAUG
rnacentral:rRNA from 1 species